CGGUAAGUUGAAGUAACAGCUUCACAAACAGCCCACUUGACUACGACAUCCCUCCCUGUGCCCCCAGGCAACUUUUCCUGCCAAUUUUCUUUCCAGAGAGAGGGGAAGAAAUAAUUGAAAGAACACUGCAGCAUAGAAAAUCACACUGAAGGAGGAAUGCACUUUGGAACAGAAAUACAGAGCUAUGACUAAAAUAUCAAGCCUCAGGCUAUUCCAUUGAAAGUCAGGAAGUCAAAUAAUUGCCUCUCAGCCCCAGACCUCCUUCUGGACUGUCUAAGAUGGCUCAAGAUAAGUCUCCUAAUGGGUUCAUAGAUGGGCAUCACAGGGACACCAGCCCAACAACUGUCAAUGCUGACAUGGUGCAGAGUCACUUGGAUGGACUGGAUGUGUUCAAGUCAGCAUGCCCGGAUGAGCUCCAUCUGAGAGUAUUGAAGGAAUUGGCUGGUGUCAUAGCAGAACCACUGGCACAGCUGUUUGAGCACUCGUGGCACUCGGGUCAGGUCCUGGAGGACUGGAAAAUGGCCAGUGUGGUCCCUACUUUCAAGAAGCCCUUUCUCAGCCUGGGAAAUCAGUGAAAACACAAGAGAAACAGCCUCUUUAUUGGCAGUUCAGGUGCCUGGAUCAGCAUCAGUCCAGAGCUGCAACUGCAACCUCACACCUCACAGGAUUGGCAUAUGUAUUCAUAAUGCAUACAUACACAUACAUUUUUUUUCUAUAACAUUUCAAAGCUAAUCACUUAUUAUCAUUUAAAGCUACUACAAUUGUGAGGCUAAUUAUUUUUAUAUACAAAGCUGAAAAAUAUGUACAGGGAGCAAUAAAAAUUACAAUAAUGAAGCAUUAGUUAAUUAAAAUGUU